AAAAUUGAAGGUCUAAUCUGCCCAAUGAUAUUUGAAUGGCCGCGGUAACUUGACCGUGCAAAGGUAGCAUAAUUAUUAGUCUUUUAAUUGAAGGCUUGAAUGAAAGAUUGGAUGAAAAAUAAACUUUAUUAAUUUAAAUUAUUUAAUUUAUUAUUUAAGUAAAAAUUCUUAAAUAUAUAAGUGGGACGAGAAGACCCUAUAGAGUUUUAUUUUUAUUUUUAUUAUGAAAUUCAAGAAUUAUUAUUUUUAUAAAAAAAAUAAAUUUUUUAUUGGGGUGAUAUUAAAAAUUAUUAAACUUUUAAUUAAUAUUUCAUUAAUAUAUGUAUUAUUGAUCCAAAAAAACUUUUGAUUAUAAGAUUUAAUUACCUUAGGGAUAACAGCGUUAUUAAUUUGAAGAGUUCAAAUCGAUAAAUUAGUUUGCGACCUCGAUGUUGGAUUAAGAAUAAAUUUUGAAGUAGUGUUUAAAAUUAUAGGUCUGUUCGACCUUUAAAUUCUUACG
rnacentral:rRNA from 1 species